CCACAACCAACCAGAACGUGAAAAAGCGUCCUGCGUGUAGCGAACUGCGAUGGGCAUACUGUAACCAUAAGGCCACGUAUUUUGCAAGCUAUUUAACUGGCGGCGAUUGCGUACCCGACGACCAAAAUUAGGGUCAACGCUACCUGUAGGAAGUGUCCGCAUAAAGUGCACCGCAUGGAAAUGAAGACGGCCAUUAGCUGUACCAUACUCAGGCACACAAAAAUACUGAUAGCAGUCGGCGUGUGAAUCAUUAGCCUUGCGACCCUCGGCAGCAAGAACCAUACGACCAAUAUCACGAAAAUAGUCACGCAAAGCAUUGGGAUUAUCAUAAAACGCCUCUAAUCGGUCGUCA
rnacentral:rRNA from 1 species